UCAACUCGUACUGCUCGCCGUAAUGUUCAACGAGUACUGCAAGAUUCGGUUUCUUCCUACAUUUCGAAGUCACUCUAUUCAGAAUGCAGUUGAAAACGAUGAACUUGAUGAGAGAAAAGUGGGGAGAUGGGGGAAUGCAAUUGAAGAGUAUCGGCAACCAUGUUUGCGACCGGUGAGUUGUACGGAAUCCGACUCUACCUUCUAUCAGCCUUUGAUUACUUCAUUGUAGUUUUGAUG